rnacentral:rRNA from 1 species
CCUACGGGCGGCAGCAGUGGGGAAUAUUGGACAAUGGGGGCAACCCUGAUCCAGCCAUGCCGCGUGUGUGAAGAAGGCCCUCGGGUUGUAAAGCACUUUCAGUGAGGAAGAAUGCCUGGUGGUUAAUACCCAUCAGGAAAGACAUCACUCACAGAAGAAGCACCGGCUAACUCCGUGCCAGCAGCCGCGGUAAUACGGAGGGUGCGAGCGUUAAUCGGAAUUACUGGGCGUAAAGCGCGCGUAGGUGGCUUGAUAAGCCGGUUGUGAAAGCCCCGGGCUCAACCUGGGAACGGCAUCCGGAACUGUCAAGCUAGAGUGCAGGAGAGGAAGGUAGAAUUCCCGGUGUAGCGGUGAAAUGCGUAGAGAUCGGGAGGAAUACCAGUGGCGAAGGCGGCCUUCUGGACUGACACUGACACUGAGGUGCGAAAGCGUGGGUAGCAAACAGGAUUAGAUACCCGGGUAGUC